rnacentral:rRNA from 1 species
UACGGAGGGUGCGAACGUUAAUCGGAAUCACUGGGCGUAAAGCGCGCGUAGGCGGUUCGUUAAGUGGGAUGUGAAAUCCCCGGGCUUAACCUGGGAAUUGCAUUUCAAACUGGCCGACUAGAGUACGGUAGAGGGAGGUAGAAUUUCCUGUGUAGCGGUGAAAUGCGUAGAUAUAGGAAGGAACACCUGCGGCGAAGGCGGGUUGCUGGGCUGACACUGACGCUGAUGCGCGAAAGCCAGGGGAGCGAACGGG